GACGAACGCUGGCGGCGUGCCUAAUACAUGCAAGUCGAGCGGACCGGAUUGGGGCUUGCCUUGAUUCGGUCAGCGGCGGACGGGUGAGUAACACGUGGGCAACCUGCCCGCAAGACCGGGAUAACUCCGGGAAACCGGAGCUAAUACCGGAUAACACCGAAGACCGCAUGGUCUUCGGUUGAAAGGCGGCCUUUGGGCUGUCACUUGCGGAUGGGCCCGCGGCGCAUUAGCUAGUUGGUGAGGUAACGGCUCACCAAGGCGACGAUGCGUAGCCGGCCUGAGAGGGUGACCGGCCACACUGGGACGGAGACACGGCCCAGACUCCUACGGGAGGCAGCAGUAGGGAAUCUUCCGCAAUGGGCGAAAGCCUGACGGAGCGACGCCGCGUGAGCGAAGAAGGCCUUCGGGUCGUAAAGCUCUGUUGUGAGGGACGAAGGAGCGUCGCUCGAAGAGGGCGGCGCGGUGACGGUACCUCACGAGAAAGCCCCGGCUAACUACGUG
rnacentral:rRNA from 1 species